GGAGGAAGGUGGGGAUGACGUCAAAUCAUCAUGCCCCUUAUGUCUAGGGCUGCAAACAUGCUACAAUGGCCGGUACAAAGGGCUGCGAUACCGUGAGGUGGAGCGAAUCCCAAAAAGCCGGUCUCAGUUCGGAUUGGGGUCUGCAACUCGACCCCAUGAAGUCGGAGUCGCUAGUAAUCGCAGAUCAGCAACGCUGCGGUGUAUACGUUCCCG
rnacentral:rRNA from 1 species